AGUGAACGCUGGCGGUAGGCCUAACACAUGCAAGUCGAACGGCAGCACAGUAAGAGCUUGCUCUUACGGGUGGCGAGUGGCGGACGGGUGAGGAAUACAUCGGAAUCUACUUUUUCAUGGGGGAUAACGUAGGGAAACUUACGCUAAUACCGCAUACGACCUACGGGUGAAAGCAGGGGAUCUUCGGACCUUGCGCGAUUGAAUGAGCCGAUGUCGGAUUAGCUAGUUGGCGGGGUAAAGGCCCACCAAGGCGACGAUCCGUAGCUGGUCUGAGAGGAUGAUCAGCCACACUGGAACUGAGACACGGUCCAGACUCCUACGGGAGGCAGCAGUGGGGAAUAUUGGACAAUGGGCGCAAGCCUGAUCCAGCCAUACCGCGUGGGUGAAGAAGGCCUUCGGGUUGUAAAGCCCUUUUGUUGGGAAAGAAAAGCAGCAGGUUAAUACCCCGCUGUUCUGACGGUACCCAAAGAAUAAGCACCGGCUAACCUCGUG
rnacentral:rRNA from 1 species